UCCCCAGUAGUGUAACUGGCAACACACCGGACUUUGGAUCCGUUAUUCUUGAUUCGAAUUCAGGCUGGGGAACGA
rnacentral:tRNA from 1 species